rnacentral:rRNA from 1 species
GACGAUGCAUAGCCGAGUUGAGAGACUGAUCGGCCACAUUGGGACUGAGACACGGCCCAAACUCCUACGGGAGGCAGCAGUAGGGAAUCUUCCACAAUGGGCGAAAGCCUGAUGGAGCAACGCCGCGUGAGUGAAGAAGGUUUUCGGAUCGUAAAGCUCUGUUGUUGGUGAAGAAGGAUAGAGGUAGUAACUGGCCCCUAUUUGACGGUAAUCAACCAGAAAGUCACGGCUAACUACGUGCCAGCAGCCGCGGUAAUACGUAGGUGGCAAGCGUUGUCCGGAUUUAUUGGGCGUAAAGCGAGCGCAGGCGGAAAGAUAAGUCUGAUGUGAAAGCCCCCGGCUUAACCGAGGAAUUGCAUCGGAAACUGUGCUUCUUGAGUGCAGAAGAGGAGAGUGGAACUCCAUGUGUAGCGGUGGAAUGCGUAGAUAUAUGGAAGAACACCAGUGGCGAAGGCGGCUCUCUGGUCUGUAACUGACGCUGAGGCUCGAAAGCAUGGGUAGAGAACAGGAUUAGAUACCCUGGUAGUCCAUGCCGUAAACGAUGAGUGCUAAGUGUUGGGAGGUUUCCGCCUCUCA